UUUAGUCAGAUUUCAUUGACCUUACGGUUGAACUCUAAAUUAUCAUGAAUUUCUUUCUUUGAAAAUCGGAUGAUUAAAAAAAAUGAACAUAUAAUAUAGAUAGGUAAUGUACAAAUAUCAAUAAAAAUGUGAGAAAAAGUAAAAGGAAACUAGUGUACAUGUAUGUGGUCCUUAAGCAAUUUAAUUACUACGAUCCAUGCCAAGUGAAACUAAUCAAUUGCUUGAGGCUGAAAAAAUAAACAAAUAAAUGUGGGAAGAAAUGUACAAAAUGUGAGGUCGAAGUACUAAUUAACAACCAUACAUGCCUCUCUAAGUUGUGCAUCAAACCUGAAUCUAGGGAUGACUACAUCAUCACAUCAUAUGAUACCCAUUCACUUUAAAUAGUUCUAUUGUCGAGCCAAGCUGGGUUGAAUAACUCAAUUACUUUGAGUUAAGAAUUACGAAGUUGGAUAAAUUAAAUUACCAUAGUUCGGACCCUGGUGAAGUAAAAAAUAUACUAACAUAACAACUAAUUACUAACAUUAAAAAACGAAGAAGCCGAGGUUAGGUGCGUCGAUUCAUCAAGGUGGGGAUAGGCUAAGAUGCAAAUCCAAACNNNNNNNNNNNNNNNNNNNUAACAUUAAAAAACGAAGAAGCCGAGGUUAGGUGCGUCGAUUCAUCAUGGUGGGGAUAGGCUAAGAUGCAAAUCCAAACCAAAUCCAUCAUCAAAGUUGGGCCCUACAUCUGCUUUAGAGAACCUACUCAAAGAUGGCCCAUCAAGUUUCCCAAACUGGGCCAGACUCUGUACUUGUG
rnacentral:lncRNA from 1 species